rnacentral:rRNA from 1 species
AAAACUGAUGAAUAGCCUUCCGAAAGGAAGAUUAAUACAUCGUAAGAUAACGAGGUGGCAUCACUUUGUUAUUAUAGCUCCGGCGGUUUUGGAUGGGCGUGCGCCUGAUUAGGUAGUUGGCGGGUAACGGCCCACCAAGCCUUCGAUCAGUAACUGGUGUGAGAGCACGACCAGUCACACGGGCACUGAGACACGGGCCCG